GACCAGCAACAAAAGCAUGAAACCAGCCA
rnacentral:piRNA from 1 species